AGAGUUUGAUCCUGGCUCAGGACGAACGCUGGCGGCGUGCCUAACACAUGCAAGUCGAGCGGAGACAGUGAGUAGCUUGCUAUGAGCUGUUUUAGCGGCGGACGGGUGAGUAACGCGUGAGCAACCUUUCCCAGACAGGGGAAUAACACACCGAAAGGUGUACUAAUACCGCAUAAGACCACGGGAUCACAUGGUUCUGGGGUAAAAGAUUUAUCGGUUUGGGGUGGGCUCGCGUCCGAUUAGGUAGUUGGUGAGGUAACGGCCCACCAAGCCGACGAUCGGUAGCCGACCUGAGAGGGUGAUCGGCCACAUUGGGACUGAGACACGGCCCAAACUCCUACGGGAGGCAGCAGUGGGGAAUAUUGGGCAAUGGGGGGAACCCUGACCCAGCAACGCCGCGUGGAGGAAGAAGGUUUUCGGAUCGUAAACUCCUGUCCUUGGAGACGAGUAGAAGACGGUAUCCAAGGAGGAAGCCCCGGCUAACUACGUGCCAGCAGCCGCGGUAAUACGUAGGGGGCAAGCGUUGUCCGGAAUAAUUGGGCGUAAAGGGCGCGUAGGCGGCUCGGUAAGUCUGGAGUGAAAGUCCUGCUUUUAAGGUGGGAAUUGCUUUGGAUACUGUCGGGCUUGAGUGCAGGAGAGGUUAGUGGAAUUCCCAGUGUAGCGGUGAAAUGCGUAGAGAUUGGGAGGAACACCAGUGGCGAAGGCGACUAACUGGACUGUAACUGACGCUGAGGCGCGAAAGUGUGGGGAGCAAACAGGAUUAGAUACCCUGGUAGUCCACACUGUAAACGAUGAAUGCUAGGUGUAGGGGGUAUCGACCCCUUCUGUGCCGCAGUCAACACAAUAAGCAUUCCGCCUGGGGAGUACGGCCGCAAGGUUGAAACUCAAAGGAAUUGACGGGGGCCCGCACAAGCAGCGGAGCAUGUGGUUUAAUUCGACGCAACGCGAAGAACCUUACCAGGUCUUGACAUCCACUUAAACUUACAGAGAUGUAAGGUGUGCUUGCACAAAGUGAGACAGGUGGUGCAUGGUUGUCGUCAGCUCGUGUCGUGAGAUGUUGGGUUAAGUCC
rnacentral:rRNA from 1 species